UACAGGGGGGGCAAGCGUUGUUCGGAAUUACUGGGCGUAAAGGGCCAGUAGGCGGCCAACUAAGUCCGACGUGAAAUCCCCAGGCUUAACCUGGGAACUGCGUCGGAUACUGGAUGGCUUGAAUUCGGGAGAGGGAUGCAGAAUUCCAGGUGUAGCGGUGAAAUGCGUAGAUAUCUGGAGGAAUACCGGUGGCGAAGGCGGCAUCCUGGACCGAGAUUGACGCUGAACGGCGAAAGCUA
rnacentral:rRNA from 1 species